CCUACGGGAGGCAGCAGUGGGGGAUAUUGCACAAUGGGGGAAACCCUGAUGCAGCGACGCCGCGUGGGUGAAGAAGCGCCUCGGCGCGUAAAGCCCUGUCAGCAGGGAAGAAAAUAACGGUACCUGAUGAAGAAGCACCGGCUAACUACGUGCCAGCAGCAGCGGUAAUACGUAGGGGGCAAGCGUUAUCCGGAUUUACUGGGUGUAAUGGGGGCGCAGACGGCGAUGCAAGCCAGCAGUGAAAACCCGGGGCCCAACCCCGGGACUGCUCUUGGAACUGCGUGGCUAGAGUGCAGGAGGGGCAGGCGGAAUUCCUGGUGUAGCGGUGAAAUGCGUAGAUAUCAGGAGGAACACCGGUGGCGAAGGCGGCCUGCGGGACUGCAACUGACGUUGAGGCCCGAAAGCGUGGGGAGCAAACAGGAUUAGAUACCCUAGUAGUC
rnacentral:rRNA from 1 species